rnacentral:rRNA from 1 species
UGUUGGCAAGAGUAACUGUUGUGGGCGUGACGGUAUCCAAACCAGAAAGCCACGGCUAAUUACGUGCCAGCAGCCGCGGUAAUACGUAGGUGGCAAGCGUUAUCCGGAUUUAUUGGGCGUAAAGCGAGCGCAGGCGGUUUUUUAAGUCUGAUGUGAAAGCCCUCGGCUUAACCGAGGAAGCGCAUCGGAAACUGGGAAACUUGAGUGCAGAAGAGGACAGUGGAACUCCAUGUGUAGCGGUGAAAUGCGUAGAUAUAUGGAAGAACACCAGUGGCGAAGGCGGCUGUCUGGUCUGUAACUGACGCUGAGGCUCGAAAGCAUGGGUAGCGAACAGGAUUAGAUACCCUGGUAGUCCAUGCCGUAAACGAUGAAUGCUAGGUGUUGGAGGGUUUCCGCCCUUCAGUGCCGCAGCUAACGCAUUAAGCAUUCCGCCUGGGGAGUACGACCGCAAGGUUGAAACUCAAAGGAAUUGACGGGGGCCCGCACAAGCGGUGGAGCAUGUGGUUUAAUUCGAAGCAACGCGAAGAACCUUACCAGGUCUUGACAUCUUUUGAUCACCUGAGAGAUCAGGUUUCCCCUUCGGGGGCAAAAUGACAGGUGGUGCAUGGUUGUCGUCAGCUCGUGUCGUGAGAUGUUGGGUUAAGUCCCGCAACGAGCGCAACCCUUAUGACUAGUUGCCAGCAUUUAGUUGGGCACUCUAGUAAGACUGCCGGUGACAAACCGGAGGAAGGUGGGGAUGACGUCAAAUCAUCAUGCCCCUUAUGACCUGGGCUACACACGUGCUACAAUGGAUGGUACAACGAGUUGCGAGACCGCGAGGUCAAGCUAAUCUCUUAAAGCCAUUCUCAGUUCGGACUGUAGGCUGCAACUCGCCUACACGAAGUCGGAAUCGCUAGUAAUCGCGGAUCAGCACGCCGCGGUGAAUACGUUCCCGGGCCUUGUACACACCGCCCGUCACACCAUGAGAGUUUGUAACACCCGGAAGCCGGUGGCGUAACCC